AACACUCCCCCGCAAGUCCUCUGCCGGAAUCAGAACUAAUACAGAGUAUGUCAGAACCUCCUGCAGUACUACUUCAUACCCUCGUCUCUGCUACAAUUCACUCUCGGUUUACGCCGGGAAGAUCAAGACCAACCCCAAGACGCUGGCUCUCGCCGCCCUCCACGUUAACCUCGCCGCCGCCCGAUCCUCAGCUGCAUCAAUGAGAAGGCUGGCGAAAACCCGCGGCCUGCGGCGGAGAGAC
rnacentral:lncRNA from 1 species